ensembl:lncRNA
UAUGAAUAUAUGCUAUUCCCAUUUUGCUGUUGGCUUGUAGUUAUGCAUACGUAGAUGAAAAUCACGCCCAUUUUUCAUGAAACGAAACUUUCGUUUCGAGAUGUAAUCCCUGGCUCUCUUCCUCAGCAGCUAACGUUACUUUCAUUGUGUGCGGAGCAUGGGAACAUGCUCUUAAUCUGAGCUGUGUGACUGAGGGUCAAAUACACGGUGACAAGUGUGCUCAUCAUUGAAAUCGCACACCUGCACUAGACUUUAUCAGAGAAUGAAGUGUCCUCAGUGCAAUCAUGUGUCUUUGGAAAAGGCACCAAACUUCUGCAGUCAGUGUGCCUAUAAGCUAACAUCUGAGUCAAAAGAGACAGCAGCAGACAAGCCACAAGACGAGUCUCAAACAUGCUCAAACAUUCCACACUGUACCGAUGCAGAAAUGACUGAUAUUGGUCGUGAAUCAGAAGCAUUGAAUUACCAGAUUGCCGUUGUAUCUCCAAAACGACCAAAUGAAGAUAUAAGCCCUAACCCAAAGAAAAAGAAAAGAAAGAAAAAGAAGAAAAAAGCAAGUGUUGCAGGAGGCCCUUCGUCUCUGACCUCUGAUCUCUCUGAUAUAUCUUUGAAUGAUAAAGAGAAGAAAAUAGAGGAAGACCAAUCUUUUGAGAGUGAUGGCUCUUACUGCACUGUAGAUGACAUGCCUAAACCAGCUGAAUCAUCCUCUCAUCUGAGCCCACCAGAGAAUGAAUCCACUGGGGCAACACAACUCAACACAACUUUACCCCAUGCUGGUGUAGAUCAGUCUGUUGAACAGUCAAAUAGUAGCAAGGAGAGUUGUGUAGCACCUGAAAUGUUAAAAUCAUCUAAGUUAAAUUUGAUCCAAGAGUCAAUCAGCACUAGUACUGCCAAUGAUUCUCCAGCAGUGUCAGUGGGAGCAGAUCAGACAGCUGAAAAAAACAAAACUAAACCUAAGAAUAAGGGUCAAAAGAGCAUGUCCACAAGAGCACAGACAACUCUAGAUCAGAGUGCUAAUAUGGGAAAGAAUGCAAACAUAAAAAGCAGCACAGGCAAUCAAAAGGAAACAGAUCCUCGGGGCAUGGAACCACUGAAGAAUUACAGUUCCAGUGGAGAUUCAGUGAUGAAGGUUGAACACAGUGAGAAGCAGCAGUCUGCUCAUGCUAACCAGAUGAAUCCAGAAUUCAAAAACGUCAAUGAAAGCGGCAUUACAGAAACCAAUAAGGACAACCAAAAAAAGUAUNUAUUUUUUUUUUUUUAAAAAAAAAAAAAAAAAACAAAGGUACAUGCAUAUAUAUAUAUAAUAAAAAGAAAACAAGUAGAUAGAAUAGAAAGAGA